rnacentral:rRNA from 1 species
AGCAGCCGCGGUAAUUCCAGCUCCAAUAGCGUAUAUUAAAGUUGUUGCAGUUAAAAAGCUCGUAGUUGAAUUUCGGGGUCAGUGGGUCGGUCGUGCCACUGGUAUGUACUGGCCCUACUGAUUCCUCCUUCUUGAAGAACUGUAAUGCCAUUAAUUUGGUGUUGCAGGGAAACAGGACUGUUACUUUGAAAGAAUUAGAGUGUUUAAAGCAGGCAAUCGCUUGAAUACAUUAGCAUGGAAUAAUGAAAUAGGACGCUCGAUCCUAUUUUGUUGGUUUCUAGGAUUGACGUAAUGAUUAAUAGGGAUAGUUGGGGGUAUUAGUAUUCAAUUGUCAGAGGUGAAAUUUUUGGAUUUAUUGAAGACUAACUACUGCGAAAGCAUUUGCCAAGGAUGUUUCCAUUAAUCAAGAACGAAAGUUAGGGGAUCGAAGACGAUCAGAUACCGUCGUAGUCUUAACCAUAAACUAUGCCGACUAGGGAUCGGAUGAUGUUAAUUUUUUAAUGACUCA